rnacentral:rRNA from 1 species
CCUACGGGUGGCAGCAGUGGGGAAUAUUGGGCAAUGGGCGCAAGCCUGACCCAGCAACGCCGCGUGAAGGAAGAAGGCUCUCGGGUUGUAAACUUCUUUUCUCAGGGACGAAACAAGUGACGGUACCUGAUGAAUAAGCCACGGCUAACUACGUGCCAGCAGCCGCGGUAAUACGUAGGUGGCAAGCGUUAUCCGGAUUUACUGGGUGUAAAGGGCGUGUAGGCGGGACUGCAAGUCAGAUGUGAAAUUCCAGGGCUCAACCUGUGGCCUGCAUUUGAAACUGUAGUUCUUGAGUACUGGAGAGGCAGGCGGAAUUCCGUGUGUAGCGGUGAAAUGCGUAGAUAUUAGGAGGAACACCAGUGGCGAAGGCGGUCUGCUGGACAUCAACUGACGCUGAGGCGCGAAAGCGUGGGGAGCAAACAGGAUUAGAUACCCUAGUAGUC